rfam:Drosophila willistoni strain TSC#14030-0811.24 scf2_1100000005024 genomic scaffold, whole genome shotgun sequence.
AUGUACUAACCUCUAGUUUCUCUUAUACUUUUGCCUGCUACCUUGGUAUUCCAUCUAAAAAGGUACAAACAUCGCAUUGUCAAAAAGAGGUGGUUUUAGUACGUAGGCGCUGUGGGACUUCAUUGUCCCGAUGAUGCAGCGAAUCGUGCAUACGAGAUUGUCCAGUAGUUGGGUGCUCGUAUCUUUAGAAGAUAGCCAAAUGCCUCGUCAUC